rnacentral:lncRNA from 1 species
AAUAGGCAACUAAAUUGAGACUGUAGCUGCUGAUGUAGCCCUACUUAGAGAAGGGAAGAUUAAAAGCUAGCAAGAUGGAGGAGGUUAGGCUAAAUAUGUGAAAUGGAGCAUAGCUGAUUUAGUUCUUGAAGCAUGAUUAAUAUUUAGAAAGCUAUGUAGGUGAUUUAUUGUUCUGCAGGAAAGAUGUGCUGCAAAAAUAAUUUGCAGUGCGAUGCAUGCACCUUUUGGAUAGAGGCUAUGGGACGAUAAUGUAACCUUUACAAACGGCAAUAGAAAUGGUUUAGCAUGAGGCAACAAAGUAGUAAACCAAACUAGAAGGGAG